AUUGAACGCUGGCGGCAUGCCUUACACAUGCAAGUCGAACGGCAGCACGGGUGCUUGCCCCUGGUGGCGAGUGGCGAACGGUUGAGUAAUACAUCGGAACAUGUCCUGUCGUGGGGGAUAGCCCGGCGAAAGCCGGAUUAAUACCGCAUACGAUCUCCGGCUGAAAGCGGGGGACCUUCGGUCCUCGCGCUAAAGGGUUGGCCGAUGGCUGAUUAGCUAGUUGGUGGGGUAAAGGCCUACCAAGGCGACGAUCAGUAGCUGGUCUGAGAGGACGACCAGCCACACUGGGACUGAGAAACGGCCCAGACUCCUAAGGGAGGCAGCAGUGGGGAAUUUUGGACAAUGGGCGAAAGCCUGAUCCAGCAAUGCCGCGUGUGUGAAGAAGGCCUUCGGGUUGUAAAGCACUUUUGUCCGGAAAGAAAUCCUUGGCCCUAAUACGGUCGGGGGAUGACGGUACCGGAAGAAUAAGCACCGGCUAACUACGUG
rnacentral:rRNA from 1 species